rnacentral:rRNA from 1 species
GUCGAGGGGCAGCAUGAAAGUUUGCUUGCAAACUUUUGAUGGCGACCGGCGCACGGGUGAGUAACACGUAUCCAACCUGCCUCAUACUCGGGGAUAGCCUUUCGAAAGAAAGAUUAAUACCCGAUGUCAUAGUCCUACCGCAUGAUGGGAUUAUUAAAGAAUUUCGGUAUGGGAUGGGGAUGCGUUCCAUUAGUUAGUUGGCGGGGUGACGGCCCACCAAGACAACGAUGGAUAGGGGUUCUGAGAGGAAGGUCCCCCACAUUGGAACUGAGACACGGUCCAAACUCCUACGGGAGGCAGCAGUGAGGAAUAUUGGUCAAUGGACGAGAGUCUGAACCAGCCAAGUAGCGUGAAGGAUGACUGCCCUAUGGGUUGUAAACUUCUUUUAUAUGGGAAUAAAACGUUCCACGUGUGGAAUUUUGUAUGUACCAUAUGAAUAAGGAUCGGCUAACUCCGUGCCAGCAGCCGCGGUAAUACGGAGGAUCCGAGCGUUAUCCGGAUUUAUUGGGUUUAAAGGGAGCGUAGGUGGAUUGUUAAGUCAGUUGUGAAAGUUUGCGGCUCAACCGUAAAAUUGCAGUUGAAACUGGCAGUCUUGAGUACAGUAGAGGUGGGCGGAAUUCGUGGUGUAGCGGUGAAAUGCUUAGAUAUCACGAAGAACUCCGAUUGCGAAGGCAGCUCACUGGACUGCAACUGACACUGAGGCUCGAAAGUGUGGGUAUCAAACAGGAUUAGAUACCCUGGUAGUCCACACAGUANACGAUGAAUACUCGCUGUUUGCGAUAUNCAGCAAGCGGCCAAGCGAAAGCAUUAAGUAUUCCACCUGGGGAGUACGCCGGCA